rnacentral:lncRNA from 1 species
AUGCCAUCCCCAUGGGGGCACGCGUGCAGCGUGCAUGACUGCUGCCCAUGCACUGUAAUGGUGAUGGCACAGGUGGGACUGUGCUGUCACCCACUGGUGUCCCAACACACUAAGGACACUGGUGUGGAGGGAGUCGCUAUGGUGCCUCCGAUGCCACCUGCCCACCUCCCCACAUCAGAGCAUCCCAACACCCAGAGCCAUCUCACAGCGCUGAGCUGCAGCAGAUGCUGGAGUAGAAACAGCCCCAGGGAGACCUGCUCUGCAUCUGGCUCCUGCAUAGCUCUCAGCCCUCUCCAUCCCGAUGCCAUCCCAGUCCUCCAGCUUAAUAUCAACUACAGCACAAGCACUCUGUGUGCUGACAGCCGAGCCACCCGCCAGCAGCUCCUGAAUCACGCUGUUCCUGGCGCAGGCAGUCCUCCCACCAAUGCCAGGAAGCAGGAGGAUGCUUGCAAGGCCAGCCGGGCACCGAGAGCAUCGGGCUCGGGAGACGUCAGCUACGGGGAAAGGAAGUGGGGAAGCUUCUUCCAUCAUCCCUGUGGGAUGGGAGCGCGCCAAGCGCCAACGGCACCACGCGGAACACGGGAGGCUCACGCUGACCUGUCCUGCAGCAGCUCUGCAGAGGGAUGGAGGCUUGCAGGGUCCUCCCACCAAAGGAGAAGCUGCAUCAUCCAGUGCAACAGCAAUGGAGCCAGAAAAUCAUCACCGCACAAAUCCAACACCAAGCCGGGGAGCGAGGCGCACACAUCCAUCCCUGCGCUUCUCAUCCAGCGGAGCACAGUCCUCCAGGAAAGGAUAGAAAUGGGACCAACCUCCCAGUGCUGGCGCCAAACCAUCCCCGUGCCAGGGAUGCAGUGCCCGAGCUCCAGCACCGCCACGGGAGGUGAGCAUCCCCAGCGCCAACAUCCCGGUGGUUCACCCAACACCAAGCCUAAAAUCCCUCCGCACGCCGAGCCUGUGCCAUCUCCGCAGCACCACACCAACAGGAGAGGGAGGAAAGCCCCAGCAUCGUCACAGCCCCGAGGGAACGCCAGGAGGCCGGGCCCCCUGACACCCACUGCCGCUGCACCCUGGCACUGCCACGUCCCCGCUCUCCUCCCCCUCGCCAUAAGAGGGGAUAACGCAGCCUCGCUGAGCGGAUUACUGCCUGGAAAGCCCUGGGAGAGCCUCACCAGGCCAAGGGGCUGCCCGCGGCCAGCAGGGCUGUGUGGGGCUGUGGGUCAGCCCUGUGAGAGGAGGAGGAGGAGGAGGAAGAGAAGGAGGAAGAGGUGGUGGCAGCAGGAGGAAGGCCGGCAAGGCAGGGAGGGCUGA